UACGGAGGAUGCGAGCGUUAUCCGGAUUUAUUGGGUGUAAAGGGCGUGUAGGCGGGAAAGCAAGUCAGAUGUGAAAACUCAGGGCUCAACCCUGAGCCUGCAUUUGAAACUGUUUUUCUUGAGUACUGGAGAGGCAGGCGGAAUUCCUAGUGUAGCGGUGAAAUGCGUAGAUAUUAGGAGGAACACCAGUGGCGAAGGCGGCCUGCUGGACAGAAACUGACGUUGAGGCUCGAAAGCGUGGGGAGCAAACAGG
rnacentral:rRNA from 1 species